UCUUAAGAUUUAUUUUAUUUUAAAAAUUAAAAUAAGUCUUUAAUUGGGGUGAUUGUAAAAUUUAAUUAACUUUUAUAUAUUUAAUUCUUAAAUAAAUGAUUUUUUUGAUAUUAAUUAUAAAUAUUUAAAAUAAGU
rnacentral:rRNA from 1 species